rnacentral:lncRNA from 1 species
AGUGGUUAGGGCAGCCUCAUCUGGGAAAGGGACCCUCCUUCUCCUUCUUAGGCGGUCUUCUCUUUUCCUCCUUUGUGGUUAGAAUUAAUACUGUUAACGUUCUUCUCGGGCUGUAAUUAACCGUCUUGUUAGCCCUGGCUGUCGGGGCUGAUUUUCCCUUAUUCUCUCAGUGUCCGGUGUUUCAGCCUGGAGCCAUCACUUACUUAGUAUUUUAAUUAGGAAUUUUGACAGGAGAUUUGUUUCCUGCCUCUGCCCUCUGCCUUCUCCCGGAGAUAAGGGAUUGUGCCUCUGGAGACCCCCAGGCUCUAGACCUGCCCAGGGCCAGCGGCAGUGGGCGGAGAGGGUCCUCUCCCCUUGGGUCAGCCCGGCCUGGCCUCCCAGGCUCACCGCCUGCCCCUUGAGGGCCCAGAGCCGCCAUUCCCCGCUUCAGGCUUCGAAGGCCGCAUUCCUGAAACCCUGACUAACAGACGCCUGUUCCCACAGGCCCAGCCCAGAACUGGCUCUUCCAGCCGCCUGUGAGGCUUGAUCUACCACGGGAGCUGCCUCAGCCAGGUCUGGGCCACUGGAGUGCGGAGGCCGCGGGCGCCCGGAGGCAGGGGCGCUGGGGUGCUGGGGCUGACGCAGAGAAAGCGCUCUCGUGGUCUGGGGUUGGCCUUGAUGAGAAAUGGGCGACGUGCUUCUUGUCUGAGGUUUCUCUGUGAACAGGAAGCUGAGAACCCAUGUGUACUGAGUUAUCCUGGGUGCCUGUGGUCUUUUGAGAGGUGGGGAAGUGGGCGAGAGGGAGAGAUUAAUUCAGACAAGAAAGGAGGGAAGGGGAGAGAAGAGGGAGGAGGCUGCACACAAGAAGGGGCCCGACUGGGAGCCCCUCCAUCCCCCACCCCGUUAGGAAAAAGCCCAGUGGACCUCGCCCUGCCAGGCCCUGCCUGAAGCACCUGGGUGUGAUCAGCCUGGCUUCCCCAGGGCCCCACUGCGCCCCCACCUUCAGUCCCUCCAGCCCAAGUCUGGGCCACGUGGAGGCUCUGAGAGCCUGUCUACACCACUGCCUGGGGCAGCCCUCCUUGGGCCCCAGGGCUGGGCUUCUGGGCCUACGGGUGACCCCUGCUGCUGGAGGGAGAGGCCCUCUGCCCAGUCCCUGGGUCUCUGGCCAUCGGGCCCCAGAACCGCUUCCUGAUGACCCUCGGAUUCAAAGCUGAGGCAGGAGGGGUUUUCAGGAAAUCCCAGCCGCAGGAAUCCCAGGCACAAUCCCACAGCUGGGCCUGGUGCCCCUCUACCAGGGGCCGGGCUCAGGGGCUCCCAUGGGCCUCUCAGGGGACCCCCACCCAUGCGUUGAUUCAUGCACUUCCUGCCCUCCCCCGCCCCAGCAGCUGCUCCCGGCCACCUUUCCCUCCUCUCAUUGACCCCUGACCUGCCAGUGCCAGGGGCCCCCCAGAGCCGCAUGGAAGGUCCUGCUCAGAGAGCACCUGGGCACCCAGCCUCUCCUGUCCCUCCUCUUGCCCCUCCUCCUCCCGCUUCUCCCAGCUCCCGCCCUUCACUUCCUCUGUGCCCUCCCACAGUGAGGCAGCAGGGGGCAGAAAGGCAGGCUCUUCCGGGCCCUCCCAGGCCUCCCAGCACCUGAGGCCUCCUCAGCCUGGACCAAGUGCGGGGUGCCCAGGCCCCUGCUGUGGCUCUGGAGAAAGGCCAGGCUCCUUCCCAGCAGGGUGGGCAUCCUGCCAGCCCGAGCAGCUGAAGCACUGACCUCAGGACCCCCACCUCCUCCUGCCCACCCCACCCUCCUGUCUGGGCCAGGCCGGCGGGCCAUCUUGCACCUUCUGCCUGGGUCUAGCCCUCAUCUCUCCUUCCUCCCACUGCCUAGGUCCCUUCGGUACUCCACUGCCCACAAGCCCCUCCAAGCUGGGGCACGGGCCAUCCGGCUCAAGGCUGGGCCUCGCCAAGGCCCACAAUAGCUCACCUGCUAGUGCUUCUACCCCGGGCCUCUCCAAGAAGCUGCUGGAACCUCCCCACACGCCUCUGCAGGUCAAGGGUACCCAGGGCCCACCCUGAGGCCCCUAUGCCCUCGCCCUGGCCCCACCACGGGGCUCCUCUGCCCAGACGUCCCAGGUCCAGAGUGGAGGCUCAGCCUUGGGCCUCAGUCCGCUCCCGGCCCGGAUGUGAGGGUGGGUCGCAGCUGCACGGCCUCGCUGCCCACCAGGCCUGCGGAAGGGAGGACACGCCCUCCCACAGACCCUGUGAUGGCGGCUGCCAUGGAAGGUGUCUAGGCCCUUUUGGGCAUCCCCUGCCCCCGUCUAGGUCCCCAGGUACUUGCAGAAAAGAAGGGGUGAGCACAGCCUUCUGUAAGGGGGCGCCCGAGUCCUGGCCAAGGUGGCCGCCCACCCUGGGGCUCCACAGUCCAGGCAGCCACCUCUUCAGUCUCUCCCCUUAAUGUGGGGCAGAGUGGAUAGAGGGACUCCCUCCUCUGACCAGCCAGGCAGGCAGGGAAACCCGGGCACGGGAGCCCAGGGCUGGUGGCCAUGCCCUGAGGGAACUGGCUGCACUUGCAGCCCAGGCCACAGGCCCCAGGACACCCCAGACCUCUUGGCAGGACCCCAGGGUUAAAAGGCAGUUUGUGGCGCCACUUCUCCCCUGAUGAUGGACACCUUGAAGGGGCUCUGGGCACCAGCGGAACAAACGUCAUAGGGAAACUCAGCAGCUGACCUACCACCAGGACCCACCUGUCCUCUGCCCUCCCAGAAUCCUGGUCAUGCGUCCAGCAAGCUCCCAGGGAGGACACGCCAGGCACUGGGCCCAUGGACACGCUGUAGAGAAACGCCGCAAUCGUUAGGGGCAUGUGACUAAGACGCCUCCUUCCCAUAGGCACCCACGGGGUGCGGCUCUUUCCAAAACGCCACAUUAAAACAGCUGCAGGAGGACCGAAGGGGCCUCGUGCCCAUCCCCUGCUGCUACUCCCCAGCCCGCCCUCAGCCUCCUGCCGCUGGAGCUCUGCCCACCUGCACACCCCACUCUUCUUCAUCCCCAGCCCCAUAAGCGAGACUACCUUGAGGCCAGUAGGUGCUUCCUGAGAGUUUAGGAAUAACAGGGGAACUACAGCAAAUAGCAACAAUUUUAAAAGCAAACAAGGCAUCAGCCCUUGCCAUCCUCAAGCCGUGACCACCCCUGCC